UGUGUCGCACACACACACACACACACACACAUACACGUCCUACACACGACACGACACGACACAACACGAC
rnacentral:snRNA from 1 species